rnacentral:misc_RNA from 1 species
GUUGGUCGGUGACUUUGUUGCUCGACUCAAAGCUAGGAGCUGCUUGGGAUCAUCGAGUUCUCGUUUAUCUGCGUGGAUAGCGCUUAGAGACAGGUGCAAAAGAACUCUGCUCUGUGCAUGGGUGUUCUCCCUAGCUCAAAUUCUAUCUUCACCCAUGGUUAUGUUUUCUUGUUUUCGCUAAAGGAUCUUAUGGAUUGUUGUUAAUCAGGGG